GAUGAAGAACGUAGCGAAAUGCGAUAAGUAAUGUGAAUUGCAGAAUUCAGUGAAUCAUCGAAUCUUUGGACGCACAUUGCGCCCGCCAGUAUUCUGGCGGGCAUGCCUGUUCGAGCGUCAUUUCAACCAUCAAGCCCCCGGCUUGUGUUGGGGACCUGCGGCUGCCGCAGGCCCUGAAAACCAGUGGCGGGCUCGCUGUCACACCGAGCGUAGUAGAUUUUCAUCUCGCUCAGGGCGUGCUGCGGGUUCCGGCCGUAAAAAGCCUUAUUUACCCAAGGUUGACCUCGGAUCAGGUAGGAAGACCCGCUGAACUUAAGCAUAUCAAUAAGCGGAGGA
rnacentral:misc_RNA from 1 species